rnacentral:rRNA from 1 species
AACGUAGGUGGCGAGCGUUAUCCGGAUUUACUGGGCGUAAAGGGUGUGCAGGCGGGCUGUUAAGUGGGGUAUGAAAUCGUCCGGCUCAACCGGGCGAGGUUAUGCCAGACUGGCAGUCUAGAGAGCGAGAGAGGGACGUGGAAUUCCGGGUGUAGUGGUGAAAUGCGUAGAGAUCCGGAGGAACCCCAGAGGCGAAGGCGGCGUCCUGGCUCGCAUCUGACGCUCAGACACGACAGCAUGGGGAGCGAACGGG